GAGUACUCACCUUCCUUCAGCUGCUGCAAGUAUUCCAGCAGCCAUUACCAUUUUUUCUCCAACCAUCAAGCCCCUUCAUUUAGCUGAUGCAAGCAACACAGUAGCUAUCAACCCCUUCUUCAGCCAUCAGGCCUUUCCUUUAGCUGCUGGAGCAUCAUAACAACUUCUUGCUUUGGCUGCUGUAAGCAUCCCGACAGCCAUCAACCCCCUUCUUCAAUCAUUACACCUCCUUCCUAGCUGUUGCAAGCACCAUAACUAUAAGCUCCUUUCCUUGAAACCAUUCUCCCUACAAAGCCUCACCAAGCAUAACUCCAAGCUUUUCCUUCCUU
rnacentral:lncRNA from 1 species